rnacentral:tRNA from 1 species
GCCACUAUGGCUCAGCUGGUAGAGCGACGCAUUCGUAAUGCGUAGGUCAACGGUUCGAAUCCGUUUAGUGGCU